rnacentral:snoRNA from 1 species
AACCCAUGGUGAGGGCACUCUUUUCGGUACUCCUUGUACCUUUCCUAAGCUUCGCUGAAAGCUUCACCAAGUUGCUGUCUGAACGACGAGAUCUUGUUCCUCAGAGC